CCUACGGGAGGCAGCAGUAGGGAAUCUUCCACAAUGGGCGAAAGCCUGAUGGAGCAACGCCGCGUGGGUGAAGAAGGUCUUCGGCUCGUAAAACCCUGUUGUUAGAGAAGAAAGUGCGUGAGCGUAACUGUUCACGUUUCGACGUUAUCUAACCCGCUAGCCACGGCUAACUACGUGCCAGCCGCCGCGGUAAUACGUAGGUGGCAAGCGUUCUCCGGAUUUAUUGGGCGUAAAGGGAACGCAGGCGGUCUUUUAAGCCUGAUGUGAAAGCCUUCGGCUUAACCGGAGUAGUGCAGUGGAAACUGGGUGACUUGAGUGCAGAAGAGGAGAGAGGAA
rnacentral:rRNA from 1 species